UGCGUAGGCGGCGAUAUAGGUCAGGUGUGAAAUCCCACGGCUCAACCGUGGAACUGCGCUUGAAACCAUAUUGCUUGAGGAAGUCAGAGGUAAGCGGAACUGAUGGUGGAGCGGUGAAAUGCGUUGAUAUCAUCAGGAACACCGGUGGCGAAAGCGGCUUACUGGGACUUUUCUGACGCUGAGGCACGAAAGCUAGGGGAGCGAACAGGAUUAGAUACCCUGGUAGUCC
rnacentral:rRNA from 1 species